ACACGACUACAUUAGAUACCCCUGUUAGUCCUAGCCGUAAACGAUACUCGCUAGGUGUCGGCCACGGUGCGACCGUUGUCGGUGCCGUAGGGAAGCCGUGAAGCGAGCCACCUGGGAAGUACGGCCGCAAGGCUGAAACUUAAAGGAAUUGGCGGGGGAGCACAACAACGGGUGGAGCUUGCGGUUUAAUUGGAUUCAACGCCGGGAAGCUCACCGGAUAAGACAGCGGAAUGAUUGCCGGGCUGAAGACCCUGCAUGACCAGCUG
rnacentral:rRNA from 1 species